rnacentral:rRNA from 1 species
GACAGAGGGGGCAAGCGUUGUCCGGAGUGACUGGGCGUACAGCGCGCGCAGGCGGAUCGCGACGUGCCGUGUAACAGCGCACUGCUCACCAGUGCGUAGCCAUGGUAGACGCGUGGUCUAGAGACCGUGAGAGGGAUGUGGAAUACCCGGUGGAGCGGUGAAAUGCGUAGAUAUCGGGAGGAACACCUGUGGCGAAAGCGGCGCACUGGACCAUAACUGACGCUGAGGCGCGAAAGCUAGGGGAGCAAACAGG